AAGGAGUAAGGAAGAGUGAAAUGAAGGAAGAUAUGAAGAAGAAGGAAAGACGCGGGGGAUGAGUAUUAAAAGACAGAGAUAGAGAGAGUCAGGAGGGAUGGAGAGAUGAAGGAAAGAUGAAAACAGAAGGGGAGGAGACUCAAAAACAACAGAUGGAGGUGGACCGUGACAGAGAGACGGUGUAGCCAAGCACAAACAGGAAAGACGCAGCAGCAGCAGCAGGCGGCGGCGGCAUGGACAGAGCCGCGGUGUCAGGGAGCUCGACCAUGGCAGGAGCCGGAGGGGGGGGGGCUGUUUGGUCUGGAGGCGAGACAAGAUGAGGCCGGUAAGAGGCUCCCGCUCCCGCCCGGCCGUCGGCGCCUGGCUGUCGGCUUGAGCAGUCGGAAAGAAGCGCUGUCCUUCUCCCGGGCAGCAGACCGGCAGACCGUAGAGCUGGACGGUACCUGACCCGACAGCGCCGCCUGGAGAUCUACAGGAAGGUCGAACUGCCGGGACCGGCAGGUAAAAGAUCUGGUUCCCAGACCCGGAUGAUGAAGAAGAAGUGAUUGGACAACUGGAUUUCCGGGCCCGCGCGUUACCUCUCUGAGCACGUGACAGACUGUUUGAGAAGAGGAGCGUCUGGAUUAUAUGAAGCUGGACAACAGAGAGAGGAUGAGGAUGAUGAAGAGGAGGCUGUGAGUUACAAUUAACUGAGCGGGCGAUGUCUGCGCUUUGUAGCUGCACAUUUACAAACCUUUCGCACACUGGACGCUCACACACACACACACACACACACACACACACACACACACACACACACACACACACACACACACACACACACAGAAAGAGAGAGAGAGAGAGUUUACACACACACGGCGGGCAUCACUAGUUGGCUGGCAUGAGAUCAGUCAGCUGGUCAAAGACUUAAAAAAAAAUUCCGCCACAUAUCAUCUAAACCUUUUUAUAUCACACUGUAUUAUUAUUUCUCGGAGAUGAAAGUGGAGCGUGGGCAGUUUAGCGGGACAUCAUUGUGAAAUAUUAUCAUGGAAAUCCAAAUCAUCGUGUUGUUGUGAUGGGUUUUUUCCUCGCUUCUAAUUCUCUGGUGAUCCAACGCAUCUGUCCACUUCUUCCUCUUUUUUUUUUUUCAAACAGAAAUCUGCAGCACUUUAUGUUUCAUAACAUUUUAUUUUCAAAUCCCGUUCCAAAGCAGCCGAGACCCAGUCUGCCUGUCUGCAUCUAAUGGCUCAACGCGACACUGAGUCAUUAUGUCGCAUGAGAAGCGACCCGCGGGGGCUUCAGCGCGGAGCUUUGAUCAGGAACACAUGGCUGAACUUCCUCUGCCGCUUGCAAUAUAGCCAGCUGCUGUCCGUUUGUUCGGAGAGAAGGAGGAGGAGGAAAAGAAAAGACGGCGGAGUGAAGGGAAGCAGCGCUGACUGUAAUUCAGCCCGAGAGAAAGCAGAGCAAACACAAAGAGCUGAGGUGGACGGGGCGAGGAGAAAAUAGAAGGAAACACACAGGGAGAAGAAAUGGAAGAAGAAAGAUGGAGGAUGUAGUGGUAAAGGAAAGGAGGGCGGACAGCCUCGGCUCUCAGGCUGCAGGUCUGCAGGCGCCAUGUUGAGACGGCAACAUUUCUGCAGCGCCACACUGUCUCCUGCUUCAUGUCGGUGCUGUCUGCCUGUCUGCUGUGCCUUCCUUUGUCCUGUCUGUCUCUCUCUCCCACCUUCACUUUUACCACGGGGGUAAUUGACCAACUAGUUUAUUGGUAUUUGAAGGAAGUGGAGGAGGUGGAUGUACCAGUGGUGUGUAUUACUACACAGUGUGGUUUUAUGGCGGCCUUAUUGCCCCUCAUUGCCUAUUGGUGGUCAACAAAGGAUGCUCCAAAGAAGGUCUGUGCCUCCUGGAAAGUCUGCUUCCUUUGUCGUCCUUCCUGUCUGUCUCAUUCUCUUUUGAUCGGUCGACUUUGUCUUUCAAAUGCACAUGGCUGAUUCUCCGAGACCGAACAGAUUUUUUUUCCCAGGCAUCCUCGUCUCUGUGUAACCAUCCCCUGACAUCAUUCCUAAAUUAAAUUCUUCUAUUAACCCACAUGCCAGCUGACCUUAGGCUGUCUCUGUUUCCUCACAAAGUUUAUCAUGUGUCAUCACCUUGCUGCU